CUGUUAACACCCACAACCACCACGGGUGACGUGGUGUGAGGUGGGUGAAGGGGGAGGAGGGGAGAGGGGUCUGUGUUGGGGGCGGAGCCAAAACCAGUCUCUAGCUGCUGGUGGUGAGGCGUAAACACGGCAGGCUGGUUCGCCGAUGACGGGUCAGACCCGGAGGCACAGUCACGACUGUUUGACGCCAGAAACAAGCUGCUCUGGACUCGAGCUGACGUGUCCUUGGGAAAGACACUGAAAGUGUGUGAAUGUGUGUUUUUGUCAAAGCUCUGUAUGAGCCACACUGACCUCACUGUCACCACAAGCUGAGGCCCUCUCACCAGACACCUCCAAAAACGUUACCGCGGCACUACCACCUCUGGGUGGUGAUGUCAAGGUGACGUCAGUGGUGUCUGUGUUGGAGGAGGAGCCAACAACAGCCUCUGAGCUGCUGGUGGUGCAAACAUGGAAGGCUGGUUCGCCUAUGACGGGUAAGAUCCCACCUACAAACCCGGGACGACCUAAGGCAGGCACAGUCACGAUUGUUUGAGGUCAGAGCUGCUGAGCAGCUGAGCUGAAGAAAAGCUGGGACUACAGCCGCUGGUUCCAUACCCGGCUUGACUUAAAGUUGUCCCCAGCGUAUGAAUGUGUGUAAAGCUCCAUAUGAGUCCACUCAGUGACCACCGCUACUGGUUUGGAAGGCUGGUUCGCCUGUGACGGGUAAGAUCCCACCUAAUACCCAGAGGCACAGUCACGAUAACCUGAGGCUGGUACCUGCCCCCCCCCAGCCUGCACCCGCCCACCCCCCCAUUAGAGUGCAUGUGUGUGUGUGUGUGUGUGUGUGUGGUAGUGUUGGGUGUCAUCAGGUGGUUGCCAACGUGUUGUCAGGUGUCUGCCACACGCAUUUAUACUGGAAACCUUUAACUACAAUAAGGCUGCUCCUGAACUGAGUUAAGAAAUUUUCAAUUUAAUUCAACUUUGUUUACAAAGAGCCGAUACAUAAUAGAGUGAUCUCAAGGCCCUUUACAAGGGCCCACACAUUGAUGACAUUUUUCAGUGCUGCCUCACAGCAAAGAUGCGGGUUCGAUUCCCGCGUGGCCCAGGUGCUUUUCUCUGAGGAGUUUGCAUGUUCUCCUCAUAUCACUGUGUUUCCUCCCACAGUCCAAAGACAUGCAGUCAUUUCACUGGCUCUAGUGAUAGUUAGUUCCUCUCUGUGUAUGUGGUUCUGUGAUGGAUGGAGAGCGGUCCAGCGUAAACGCUGCCUCUCACCCAGAUACACACAUAGAAAGAUAUUAUUAACUCACACAAUCCAGCAGAACCACAGUCUGAGGACAAAUGACAGCUGGGAUCGGCUCCAGCAGCUGUGCCCCAACAUCCCCCCCCCUCCCCCAUUGUGAGCUCCUCCUCCUCCCUCCACAUUUACAGCCCUCACCUUAGCACCACAUUUACCUCCGUUGAGUCAUCGGCUCACCGGGUCGUCACCUGUGUUGUUCGAGUCAUGGGAGUCACGGUCUGAACAUAAAGGUGUCAGGUUCCUGGGAUGAGUUGUACAGACUGUACAUGAGUGGAGGCCAGUGGUGUCUUAGACCUCUCUGUUUGGUACGUCCGCGUGGUUUGGUCUAGAAGCUUGUUGCUAGAGGUUGAUGGCGAGCUGGGCUCGCGUGUUGGCAGCAUAAAUAAUGUAGUUACAGCAGGUUAUCAAGCUACGUCAGGUCGUCAUACACGAUGUACGAAGUUCGUACUGAAAAAUGAUGAUUUGGCAAAUGUCAAUCAUCAUGUUUGUAUUUUUUACGUUUAAUCAAUUAGUCUUUUAUUAUGAGGAUGUAUUAUGUUUAUAUUAGUAGUUUAUAUCAGUAUAUCAGUAGUUUAUGUUUAUAUCAGUAGUUUAUAUCAGUAGUUUGUGUUUAUAUUUGAUAGGUUGUGUUUUAUCAGAAGGUUGUAUUUUAUUGUACAGUAGUAAUAAAAUACAACCUUUUUGUUGAGUUACCAAACAGAGCGGUCAAAGACAGACUUCAAAUUCUAAAUUCAUGUCUAAAUUUGACCUGACAUAGGUAUUUAUUGACUUAUUCACCUUCCAUUUUCCAAAUUAACACCUACAUCUGGAUGUGAUGCACAACUUAGAAGAUAGCACCUUUGUUUUGACCCACACACAUAUCAACUAUAGUUGCCAUACAUUAGCCAGAUUAAAGUCAUUAACACAUUAACACAUACAGUAUGUAGUUGAAAUAUGUAUUUGCAAUAACUGCAUUAAGCCUGUGACCCACUGGCAUCACCAGACUUAACUUUAUCUGCUUGUGAUGCUUUUCCAGGCUUUGACCGUAACUUCUUGCAGUUUCUUUAUUUUACUCCCUUUAGCCUUUAUGGCUUUAGAACAACAUCAGUCACAUCUUAAUUAACUUACUUUAUACUUUAAUGUCCCCAAGAGUAAAUCUUAUGCACAAACACUUGUUUGUUGGACUUUCACGACCUGUAGUUCUGACACAACGUGGUAUCUUCUAAGUUCUGCAUCAGAUUCAGAUGUAAAUAUCUGGAGAUAUGAUAAAAAGACAUGACCUGGUAAUUGUGAUUGGGCUUAAUUAAUGAAUUAAGUGAAUUGGAAGAAUCAGCUUCACUGUUUCGGUCUGCCUGCCACCCACAGUGCAGUUCUGACAUUCUGCCUGGGCAACAGAACACCUGUUCACACCUGACUCAAAAUUUUAAAAAAGCUAAAUAUCACCAUGAAGCACCGGGAAACUCCAGCCGGAGGUCGAAGGUCGACCUCUGGGUUGUGUCCGUGGGCACAACCACACUCGUAUGGACACUCCUGUGAAAAGAGGGUCUGAGCUGUUAUAGGUCAGUAGGUUAUCGCCACCUGGUGGUCGUUGAGUCCACUGGCAGAGGAGGAAGCCGGACCAACUCAGUGGGCCUGUGGGUCUGUUGAGAACGUCUGACUGAUCUGAGUCCUCAUUUUUUAAAGUCUGUGCCAGGGUUUUGUUGGGGUUGAGAAAAGGUCGGCCGAUAGUGGAACCUCAGAUUCACGAGGAACAAUUUGUUUUUGGUUUGUUUUUGCCGUGUGUGAGUUGUGAGUGUAAGAAUGAAUGCUUUUGCAGUGUGUGAGGUGUGAGUGUGAGAAUGAGCGCCUUCCAAUCUGAGGCCAUCGUCUCCACAGGAAAAGGGUGGCUCUUUGUUGUUAGGGGAGCGCUCCUGCUCCAUGCGGACGGGUUAAGCAUCUUUUGGUCUUGUUCACGAGUGAGAGAAUGAGCGCAACACCGACUGUUGUGGUGGAGAAAGAGCUGACGCUCUUGAUUCACUGGUGGAUCCACGCUCCUUCUCUCACCUAAGGUCAUGACCUUUGACUUAUGACCAGACGAACAGGCCGCAACUCGUCCACACGGAGAGGAGCGUUGGGCUUAGGCUUAGAGUAAGGGUUCUCUGACAGCCUGGCAUCACUUUUAGAUGCCUCCUGGAUCCCUUCCAGGUCAGGUGAUCCAGACCAGACCCGCGGGAAGAGGCCCUGGGGAAGACCCAGGACAGGACAGACUAUGUCUGGACUGCUCCUGGGAGCGCCCUGGGAUCCCCCCCGGUGAGCUGGAGGUGGCCAGCGAGUGGGACUGGGGUUAGGGCCAUGGUGACCAAUUGGAAAACUCGAACAACACAAGUGACGGCCAAGUGAGCGACGACUCAACAAAGGCUAAAUGUAGGGGUGAGGUGGGGGCUGGUGCUGCUCCUCCUCCUCCUCCUCCUCCUCCUCCUCCUUCACUAGAAACUUAAAAAAAAUAAUUGAGAACUAUCUCUCUUAAUAUAUUAAAAAUAUGUUAUUAAUAGAGUCAAGCAGCUGCAACCCGUACAAGGGGAAAGCAGUUGAAGAUGAGGGCGCUCCACCCUCCCUUCAGUCAAUAGUAUAAUAGUAUUAGAAGAUGGCUGGAUGGAUGAAUAGUCAACCUCCCUCCUUCUAGUCAGCCUCCCUGCCGCCCUCGGCCUGCAGGGAUAGGCUCCAGCCCAUCCUGCGACCCCGCAUGGGAUUAAGUGGUAGUCCCUCCUUCUAUAGCCAAGCUCCUUCCCUCUAGAUGCCUGAUGGUCAAGCUUCCUCCCUCCUUGUAGUCAAGCUCCCUCCCUCGCUCCCUCCCUCCCUCUAGUUGGGCUCCUUCCCUCCUUUUAGUCAAGCUCCAUGCCUCGCUUUCUCUCCAACCCCCCUCUUUCUAGUCCAGCUCUCUUCCUCCAUCACUCUAAACCUCCAAGCUCCCUUCCUCUAGUCAAGCUCGCUUACUCCUUCUUUCUGACCCUCCAUGCUCCCUUCCUCACUCUAGUCACGCUCCCUCCCUCUAGUCAACUCUUAUUCUCUCCCUCUCUUGCUUCAAGUUCCCUCUUGUCGAGCUUCCUGAUGUCUAAGCUCCCUCCCUCUAGUCAAACACUCCUCCCUCCCUUUCUCCCUCCAAGCACCCACCCUCGCUCUAGUCAAGCUCUUUUACUCCCUCCCUCUCACCCUCCAUGCUCCUUCCGCCCCUCCCUUUCUCCAACCUCCCUCUUCUGGUCAAACUCUCUCCCUGCCCACUAGUCAAGCUCUUUUACUCCCUCUAGUCAACUGUUAUUGUGUCCCUCUCUUGCUCCAAGUUCCCUCAUCCCUCUAGUCAAGUUCUUUUCCUCCCUCCCUCUCUCCGUCUAAGCUCCCCCCUGCCCACUAGUCAGGCUCUUUUCCUCCCCUCCUUCCUUUCUCCAAGAUCCCUUUCUCCCUUUUGCAGAGCUUCCUGAUGUUCAAGCUCCCUCGCUCUCUCCCUGGUUCUAGUCAAACACUUUUCCUCCCUCUCUUUCUCCCUUCAAGCACUCUCCCUCGUUCUAGUCAAGCUCUCUUACUCCCUCCCUUUCACCCUCCAAGCUCCCUCCCUGCCUCUACUCUAUAUGUUCAAGCUUACUCCCUCUCAACCUCUAAGCUUCAUUCCUCCCUUUAGUCAAGCACUUUUCCUCCCUCCCUCGCUCUAGUCAAGCACUUUUCCUCCCUUUCUCUUACCUUUUAUGCUCCCUCCAUCUCUCCCUCUCUCCAGCGUCCCUCAUUCUAGUCAGCUCUCUUUUUCUGUCUGUCUCAUCCUCCAAACUCCCUCCCUCUAGUCAAGCUGUCUUAAGACCCCCCUCCAAGCUCCCUUUAUUCCACCUUCUCUCCAACCUUUCUCUUUCUAGUCACGCUCUUCGUCCCUCCCUCCCUCUAGUUAAGCGCUCUUCCUUCCUCCCUCCCUUCCUCCCUCCAAACCUUCUUUUUUUUAGUCAAGCUCUUUUUUCUCUCCUUACCCACCCCCAAAUCCUAUCUUCAUCUUCCUUAGCCACUCUUACCCUCUCCCUAAGCCCCUCCAUCUCCCUCCUUAUAUCUCUCCAAGCUCCAUCCCUUCCGUCUCUCCAAGCUCCCUCUCUCUCCCUCCUUCUCUCUCUCUCCAAACUCUGUCUCUUCCUACUGUUCUUUCCAAGCACCCUCCCUUUCCCUCUCUCCCUCACUCAUUCUCUCUCCAAGCUCCCUCUCUCCCUUCUUCUCUCUCUCUCCAAACUUUAUCUCUUUCUACUGUUCUCUCCAAGCUGCCUCCCUUUCCUUUUCCCUUUCUCUCUCUCUCUCUCUUUCUUUGUUUUUGCUUUCCUUAGGGACAUUCAGCGUCACUGGACGAGCAACACCAGAGCUGAAGGUCAGAAUCCUGAUAACAGAUGCAGCUGUAGAGGCUGGAGAACUUCGCCCAGGGUUUCCUUGAUGACAGAGACCAAAUGUUGACCAUAGGACCUAGACAGAGAUGUCAUCACAUGUGCUUCCGGAGGUUCAGUGCACCUGCACCUCUCCGAUCCCUGCAGCGCCGACGCAGAGGAGCCUCCGGAUCCCAACCACGUAGAGGAAGUGAUCACUGCAUCCUCUGUGCUGCUGGGCUUGGAAGCUCUUCAACUCACUGUUGGUCUCCCUCUGAGCAGAAG